UACGUAGGUGGCAAGCGUUGUCCGGAAUUAUUGGGCGUAAAGCGCGCGCAGGCGGUUUCUUAAGUCUGAUGUGAAAGCCCACGGCUUAACCGUGGAAGGUCAUUGGAAACUGGGAGACUUGAGUGCAGAAGAGAAGAGCGGAAUUCCACGUGUAGCGGUGAAAUGCGUAGAGAUGUGGAGGACACCAGUGGCGAAGGCGGCUCUUUGGUCUGUAACUGACGCUGGAGGAGCGAAAGCGUGGGGAGCGAACAGG
rnacentral:rRNA from 1 species